GCAGUUGGAGCAGAUGUCGAUCAUGUUUACUGUGGUAUGGCACGGCCACCAAGUUCGUGCAUUCUGCAUACCAGGAAACCUGACACGAAGCAACGUAUUGCUGUGAUGGCAGCUAAGUGAGAACGAAUGAGUUUGUCUUCUCUGUCCAUUUGUCAAUACCAUUACACAGGCUUGUUAAGUGCAUAUAAGCGGCUUUAGCAAUGCACUUGCAGCUACAGAGCCAGUAAAGACAGCCAAUUUCAUCAUCAGAGUUCACUCUGCAAAUCCCACUUUCCAUAAAGGGCAUUGUUUUGUGAUAGUUUAAAGUCAAAACUUGCUCAAUUAAACACUUCGUGGUGUCUGACAUUACAGGAAUUAUGAUAAUUGUUAUAUCUCAUGUGAAAUUAUGCCAUUGUUUUUUUUUCAUAUUCUUACUUUGCAUACACACUUUACGACUGCACCCUCCCCAACCGAAUCUUUACUAGUGCUACAUUCUGUUAUGGGUGAAAACAAUUAUUGAACUAAAAACCAGGCCAAUGAAAGCAGUAUGAUGCCCUGUAAUGUAGGAGGAUGCUGCUAUUGCAGUGUUUAGUCUAGAGCUGAAUUUAAUGAGAAAGGGCAGCAAUGUAGGUCAUCUGUGGAUAUUUGCAGACCAUAAUUGUGUUGUGGUCAUUUUGUUAUCGCAGGAAGCAUCUUCAAAAAGCAGUGCUACAAGGAUGUGAGCAGCAGUUUCCCUUCAACGAACGGGUCAAAUUCAUGGAAGCCACGUGCCUGCUGCUUCUGGCCUACACAAACAUGCAGCCACCAUAGUCAAGUUCUUGCAAAGACAUUCUACACGAACUUGCCCAAAGGCAGAAGGAAGGCACGCACAGAUGGACGCACAGAAAUCAUGGGGCUGCCGUAGAAGCUGUGAAUGAGCAUUAACAUACGUACAGAAAGGAGCGAAGUGGAGCUGUCCAUGGGCCGUGCACACAGUUUCAUAAGCAGGCUUGCAACACUUUUGACAAAUAUGUUCCUGAAUACAUCUGCCGAAGUGGCAUUUAAAGAA